UACGGGGGGGGCAAGCGUUGUUCGGAAUUACUGGGCGUAAAGGGCGCGUAGGCGGUUCGUUAAGUCCUGUGUGAAAUCCCCCGGCUCAACUGGGGAACUGCACAGGAAACUAGCGGGCUUGAGUUCGGGAGAGGGAAGCGGAAUUCCGGGUGUAGCGGUGAAAUGCUUAGAUAUGACAUAGAACACCAAUUGCGAAGGCAGCUUGCUACACAGUUAUUGACGCUGAGGCACGAAAGCGUGGGGAUCAAACAGG
rnacentral:rRNA from 1 species